rnacentral:other from 1 species
UACAUCCUGCGAUGUUCGUUACGGCUUAACAUUGUUUUGAACCAAUGGCUGUUUUACGGGAGACCUAGAUUGGAGUGCGGCUGACAUGCCCUCAAAAAGGGACUUCAAAAACACUUCUGCGGACACCCACCUGCGAGAGCGGGUUCAAAAAACAAGCAAGUCGGACGGCAUAAGCGGGUUUCUC